rnacentral:rRNA from 1 species
GACGAACGCUGGCGGCGUGCCUAAUACAUGCAAGUCGAACGCUUCUUUCCUCCCGAGUGCUUGCACUCAAUUGGAAAGAGGAGUGGCGGACGGGUGAGUAACACGUGGGUAACCUACCCAUCAGAGGGGGAUAACACUUGGAAACAGGUGCUAAUACCGCAUAACAGUUUAUGCCGCAUGGCAUAAGAGUGAAAGGCGCUUUCGGGUGUCGCUGAUGGAUGGACCCGCGGUGCAUUAGCUAGUUGGUGAGGUAACGGCUCACCAAGGCCACGAUGCAUAGCCGACCUGAGAGGGUGAUCGGCCACACUGGGACUGAGACACGGCCCAGACUCCUACGGGAGGCAGCAGUAGGGAAUCUUCGGCAAUGGACGAAAGUCUGACCGAGCAACGCCGCGUGAGUGAAGAAGGUGUUCGGAUCGUAAAACUCUGUUGUUAGGGAAGAACAAGGACGUUAGUAACUGAACGUCCCCUGACGGUAUCUAACCAGAAAGCCACGGCUAACUACGUG